UCAGAGUUGGAGUUGCGCCAGGCCUCCUUGGAUCCUUAAAAACGCAUUUUCAAAAAGUGUCUUAAAAGCCUCCUGACUCACUAAAUCAGUGCCUUUUUCAGCAGAGUGUAUUGUGAGGUCGCAGGUCGAGAGGAUGACAGCUCGAGUGUGCUGCUCGUUGAUUGUUGCUUUAUUUUGUGUCUCUGUUUGUUUGAGCACAAGAGCUGAAAGAGCAGCCACAGUAAAUGGAUCUAUUCAUUUGGCUGCAGGGUUGUUACCAGUGGCCGGUCGGUGUCUGGCGAAGCUGAUGGUUGUGCAG